rnacentral:rRNA from 1 species
UUAAAGUCUGACCUGCCCACUGAAUAUUUUUAAAUGGCCGCAGUAUUCUGACUGUGCAAAGGUAGCAUAAUCAUUAGUCUUUUAAUUGAAGGCUGGAAUGAAUGGUUGGACGAAAUAUUAACUGUUUCAUUUAAAUUUUUUAUAGAAUUUUAUUUUUUAGUCAAAAAGCUAAAAUAAAUUUAAAAGACGAGAAGACCCUAUAAAUCUUUAUAUUUUAUUUAUUUUAAUUAUAAAGAUUAUUUUAAUUUUAAUAAAUUAAAAUAUUUUAUUGGGGUGAUAUUAAAAUUUAAAAAACUUUUAAUUUAUAAAAACAUUAAUUUAUGAAUUGUUGAUCCAUUAAUAAUGAUUAAAAAAUUAAGUUACUUUAGGGAUAACAGCGUAAUUUUUUUGGAGAGUUCAUAUCGAUAAAAAAGAUUGCGACCUCGAUGUUGGAUUAAGAUAUAA